AUCUCUCACAAGACCUUCUGGUUUUGUUGAUGUUGGGAGCUGCGACCCCCCAGUGGGGACGCUCUCCUCAAAUGCAUUGGUGCGGCCCGCCGCCCGGUUACACAACGUUCUAGGUUCGUCCAACUCGUUUCAAGCCGGCGCAACUUUGGUGCAGCACCUAAAGCCCGCCCCGAGCCCCGAGCUCUCGGCACAACUUCAUU
rnacentral:misc_RNA from 3 species